rnacentral:tRNA from 1 species
CGGCGUGUAGUUCAGUGGAGAACGCCCGGCUUGGGUCCGGGAGGGCGCGGGCUCGUUGCCCGCCACGCCGG